rnacentral:rRNA from 1 species
AUUGAACGCUGGCGGCAGGCCUAACACAUGCAAGUCGAACGAGUGGCGGACGGGUGAGUAAUGUCUGGGAAACUGCCUGAUGGAGGGGGAUAACUACUCGAAAGAGUGGCUAAUACCGCAUACUAUUGAGCGGCCGAUAUCGGAUUGGCUAGUUGGUGGGGUAAAGGCUCACCAAGGCAACGAUCCGUAGCGGUUUGAGAGGAGGACCGGCCAACUGGGACGGGGAAACGGCCCAGACUCCUACGGGAGGCAGCAGUGGGGAAUUUUGGACAAUGGGGGAAACCCUGAUCCAGCCAUCCCGCGUGUAUGAUGAAGGCCUUCGGGUUGUAAAGUACUUUGGGCAGAGAAGCGGUAUCUGCAGAAUAAGCACCGGCUAACUACGUGCCAGCCGCCCGGUAAUUC